rnacentral:snRNA from 1 species
CUGCUCACUUCAGCAACACAUGCAGUAAAACUGGAAUGAUAUAAAGAAGAUUAUCAUGGCCCCUGCAUAAGAAUGACACGCAAAUUUGUGAAGUGUUCCUAUUUUUC